ensembl:lncRNA
AUCUCAGGGAGACAGACACCGGGACCAGCAGAAGAGGGACCACACAGCGAAACCCUGCACAGAGUUUGUGAAGCGGUUCUCUGGAUUUGGCCUAUCUUGAGGAUGAAGGUGGAGGCUGUUGGCUGGUUAUGGCGUCCGUUUCCCUCCCACUUCACAGAGGGCGCCGUUGUCAGGACGACCAUUGCCGGAACAACCGCUGUCUCCUCCUCACAGAACAGAACCCCUCAAAGACGACCGACCAUUUAUACAUUCCUACAUUUUAGGUCAGCUCACUGUAUUUAAAUGUACAUUUGGUAAAUAUGUUAUUCAAUUUCAUUUAAAGUUAUAAAAAAAAUGCAUAUUAUCACUUUAUUACUGUUUUAAACUAUUAUGGCUAUUGUGUUCUAUAAUAGUAACAUUUUUUUUUACUAUUGUGUCUGACGUGAGAUGCUAUAAUGCCU